AUUGAACGCUGGCGGCAGGCCUAACACAUGCAAGUCGAGCGGAUGAAGGGAGCUUGCUCCUGGAUUCAGCGGCGGACGGGUGAGUAAUGCCUAGGAAUCUGCCUGGUAGUGGGGGAUAACGUCCGGAAACGGGCGCUAAUACCGCAUACGUCCUGAGGGAGAAAGUAGGGGAUCUUCGGACCUCACGCUAUCAGAUGAGCCUAGGUCGGAUUAGCAAGUUGGUGGGGUAAAGGCCUACCAAGGCGACGAUCCGUAACUGGUCUGAGAGGAUGAUCAGUCACACUGGAACUGAGACACGGUCCAGACUCCUACGGGAGGCAGCAGUGGGGAAUAUUGGACAAUGGGCGAAAGCCUGAUCCAGCCAUGCCGCGUGUGUGAAGAAGGUCUUCGGAUUGUAAAGCACUUUAAGUUGGGAGGAAGGGCAGUAAGUUAAUACCUUGCUGUUUUGACGUUACCAACAGAAUAAGCACCGGCUAACUUCGUG
rnacentral:rRNA from 1 species